CCACUGAGGAGUCCCACAAUAGGACGAAACGGCCGUCCGG
rnacentral:hammerhead_ribozyme from 1 species